rnacentral:rRNA from 1 species
AGUGAACGCUGGCGGUAGGCCUAACACAUGCAAGUCGAACGGCAGCACAGUAAGAGCUUGCUCUUUCGGGUGGCGAGUGGCGGACGGGUGAGGAAUACAUCGGAAUCUACUUUUUCGUGGGGGAUAACGUAGGGAAACUUACGCUAAUACCGCAUACGACCUACGGGUGAAAGCAGGGGAUCUUCGGACCUUGCGCGAUUGAAUGAGCCGAUGUCGGAUUAGCUAGUUGGCGGGGUAAAGGCCCACCAAGGCGACGAUCCGUAGCUGGUCUGAGAGGAUGAUCAGCCAGACUGGAACUGAGACACGGUCCAGACUCCUACGGGAGGCAGCAGUGGGGAAUAUUGGACAAUGGGCGCGAGCCUGAUCCAGCCAUACCGCGUGGGUGAAGAAGGCCUUCGGGUUGUAAAGCCCUUUUGUUGGGAAAGAAAAGCAGCAGGUUAAUACCCCGCUGUUCUGACGGUACCCAAAGAAUAAGCACCGGCUAACUUCGUG